CCUCCCUCAACCCAUCGCCUUUUCUCUCUCAACCUUUUCGAAUCUGCUCUUCAAUGGCUUUCCCCUACUCAGAAAUUCAACAAAACGUGAUUCUCCGGCUGCGAGGAUCAACUAUUUGGUGAAGAGUAAUAUCCCUCAUGUCCGUCCAGCACGUCGAAUUCCAGAACCACAAAUCUGGAAAGUAGAAGUUCCCAAAAUAAUAAUGAAUUGCAAAUCUGGAAUUGAAUCCUACUUUCGCUCCAAUCGAAUUUUAGUCCGCUCCAAUUAGGGUUCUAUAAAUUUGGGUGAAAUUCCUGGGUUUGAUCGAUCUUCUUCAAAUAUCGGGAUUUUAGUUAAUUUUUAGUUUGCUGAGGUUUCUACAAUUUGUUUUUGAGAAAAUGGGAAAGCGUGGAAAUAAUCAGAAGAAAGCCCCUCAGAAUUUGAAGAAAAUGAAGCUAUUAUGAAGAUGUGAAAAAAUACAAUAAUAUGGAGGAUGAAAUUGAUGCCUAUGAUGGUGGGAUCAAAAAAUAUGACAGUAUUUCCGAACUUUCUGAGGAACCGACAGAUGCAUUUCUAUAACAAAAUCUUUUCCAUGGCAGAUGUUAUUGUCACUCCGACAACUGGUGUAACUGCAUACACGGACUAAGAAUGAUGCUUUAGAAACCGGCUAACUCAAUUACAUUAUUUCUGAUUAAGGUAAUUUGUGGUGUUGAUCACGAUGACCUAAGGCAUCUGUUCUUAGUUUCUAAAACAGUAAGCGAGUUCAAAUCAAAUUGGGAACCUGAAAAUCAAAUAGGUAAAAUGAUAAAGGCAGUGAUAGCGAUGAACACCCAGAGGAAGCCUCGGCUCACUAAAUUCUACGAUUUCCAGCUUCAAACUUACUUUUGCAAUUUGUUCACCGGUCGAAAUUAAAGCCUCCAGACAAGCAGCAGGAGCUGAUUCGUAUUCUCUACCUAGGUAAUUUCAAAGUUCGCAGUUUGCAGUUUUUGAAGCAACUUCAAUGGUGGUUGCGAAUUCGCCCAGUUCGUAAUUUUCUAUCCUAAUCAGUGGAAUUUGGAGAGGUACUUGAUGCUAGCAGUAGGUCACAACAAAGCAGAAGUGAAAAGAAGAGCCGAUCGAUAAGCUAUUUAGAAGUUGGGGAUGAAGCCUAUAACGGGUGUCAGCAUUCUUUGUGAAGAAUAGUCGUUGUGUAGAGUUCAAUUCCUGAAUUCAAUUUGUUGGAACAAUUAGUAAUGAAAAUUUGAUUUUUUCGUUGUGAUAUAUUAGUUGUAACGACACAAAUUUAAGUUUUUUAAAAAUUCGAUGCGUGCAUAUAAGACUAGUAUCAUAUAGAUCAGAUAUAACACAACUCUUAAAGAAAAAUAAAAAAAUACUCUAACACAUACAAUAUUUUAUCGGAUAACUACCUUAUCCACAACUGAAAUCUAAUCUAUCAUAAAAAAAAAAUAGUUGUGAUAAUGAGUGAAGGGUGUGCACUUUAAUUUGUUAAUCAACUACUGCUGGAUACGAUUAUUGCAUCACUUACACCAGAUAUCACCUUUAAUUAAUAUAUAACGUUAUUUUAAUAGUCGUUUAG